AGAGUUUGAUCCUGGCUCAGAUUGAACGCUGGCGGUAGGCUUAACACAUGCAAGUCGAGCGGAGACGAUGAUAGCUUGCUAUCAGGCGUCGAGCGGCGGACGGGUGAGUAACGCGUAGGAAUCUGCCUAGUAGUGGGGGACAACCUGUGGAAACGCAGGCUAAUACCGCAUAAUCCCUACGGGGGAAAGGAGGGGAUCUUCGGACCUUUCGCUAUUAGAUGAGCCUGCGUGAGAUUAGCUAGUUGGUGAGGUAAAGGCUCACCAAGGCGACGAUCUCUAGCUGGUCUGAGAGGAUGAUCAGCCACACUGGGACUGAGACACGGCCCAGACUCCUACGGGAGGCAGCAGUGGGGAAUAUUGGACAAUGGGCGCAAGCCUGAUCCAGCCAUACCGCGUGUGUGAAGAAGGCCUUAGGGUUGUAAAGCACUUUCAGAAGGGAGGAAAGGUUAAUGUUUAAUACGCAUUAGCUGUGACGUUACCUUCAGAAGAAGCACCGGCUAACUCUGUGCCAGCAGCCGCGGUAAU
rnacentral:rRNA from 1 species